UAGGGAAUCUUCGGCAAUGGACGAAAGUCUGACCGAGCAACGCCGCGUGAGUGAAGAAGGUUUUCGGAUCGUAAAACUCUGUUGUUAGAGAAGAACAAGGACGUUAGUAACUGAACGUCCCCUGACGGUAUCUAACCAGAAAGCCACGGCUAACUACGUGCCAGCAGCCGCGGUAAUACGUAGGUGGCAAGCGUUGUCCGGAUUUAUUGGGCGUAAAGCGAGCGCAGGCGGUUUCUUAAGUCUGAUGUGAAUGCCCCCGGCUCAACCGGGGAGGGUCAUUGGAAACUGGGAGACUUGAGUGCAGAAGAGGAGACUGGAAUUCCAUGUGUAGCGGUGAAAUGCUUAGUAUUAUGGAGGAACACCAGUGGCGAAGGCGGCUCUCUGGUCUGUAACUGACGCUGAGGCUCGAAAGCGUGGGGAGCAAACAGG
rnacentral:rRNA from 1 species